rnacentral:rRNA from 1 species
GUUCCGCAACAUAUAGCACUCCAACCCAAUGUGAACGUUACCAAACUGUUGCCUCGGCGGGGUCACGCCCCGGGUGCGUCGCAGCCCCGGAACCAGGCGCCCGCCGGAGGAACCAACCAAACUCUUUCUGUAGUCCCCUCGCGGACGUAUUUCUUUACAGCUCUGAGCAAAAAUUCAAAAUGAAUCAAAACUUUCAACAACGGAUCUCUUGGUUCUGGCAUCGAUGAAGAACGCAGCGAAAUGCGAUAAGUAAUGUGAAUUGCAGAAUUCAGUGAAUCAUCGAAUCUUUGAACGCACAUUGCGCCCGCCAGUAUUCUGGCGGGCAUGCCUGUCCGAGCGUCAUUUCAACCCUCGAACCCCUCCGGGGGAUCGGCGUUGGGGAUCGGGACCCCUCACACGGGCGCCGGCCCCUAAAUACAGUGGCGGUCUCGCCGCAGCCUCUCCUGCGCAGUAGUUUGCACAACUCGCACCGGGAGCGCGGCGCGUCCACGUCCGUAAAACACCCAACUUUCUGAAAUGUUUGACCUCCGGAUCAGGUAGGAAUACCCGCUGAAACUUAAGCAUAUCAAUAAGGCGGGAAGGAAA